rnacentral:rRNA from 1 species
CCUACGGGUGGCAGCAGUGAGGAAUAUUGGUCAAUGGGCGCGAGCCUGAACCAGCCAAGUCGCGUGAGGGAAGACGGCCCUACGGGUUGUAAACCUCUUUUGCCGGGGGGCAACGGGCGCCACGUGUGGCGCCACUGAGAGUACCCGGAGAAAAAGCAUGGGCUAACUCCGUGCCCGCAGCCGCGGUAAUACGGGGGAUGCAAGCGUUAUCCGGAUUUAUUGGGUUUAAAGGGUGCGUAGGAGGAGCGUUAAGUCAGUGGUAAAAUUGAGGGGCUCAACCCCUUCCCGUCAGUGAAACUGGCGCGCGUGAGUGGAAGAGAAGUAUGUGGAAUGCGUGGUGUAGCGGUGAAAUGCAUAGAUAUCACGCAGAACCCCGAUUGCGAAGGCAGCAUGCCGGCUUCCUACUGACGCUGAAGCACGAAAGCGUGGGGAUCGAACAGGAUUAGAUACCCGAGUAGUC